UACGAAGGGGGCUAGCGUUGUUCGGAUUUACUGGGCGUAAAGCGCACGUAGGCGGAUUGUUAAGUGAGAGGUGAAAUCCCGGAGCUCAACUCCGGAACUGCCUUUCAUACUGGCAAUCUAGAGUCCGGAAGAGGUGAGUGGAACUCCUAGUGUAGAGGUGGAAUUCGUAGAUAUUAGGAAGAACACCAGUGGCGAAGGCGGCUCGCUGGUCCGGUACUGACGCUGAGGCACGAAGGUCAGGGGAGCAAACGGGG
rnacentral:rRNA from 1 species